UACGGAGGGUGCAAGCGUUGUUCGGAAUUACUGGGCGUAAAGGGCGCGCAGGCGGCUGCUCAAGUCAGGCGUGAAAGGCCUGGGCUCAACCCGGGAAUUGCGCUUGAGACUGGGCUGGCUUGAGUGCGGGAGAGGAUGGUGGAAUUCCCAGUGUAGAGGUGAAAUUCGUAGAUAUUGGGAAGAACACCGGUGGCGAAGGCGGCCAUCUGGACCGCAACUGACGCUGAGGCGCGAAAGCGUGGGGAGCAAACAGG
rnacentral:rRNA from 1 species